rnacentral:rRNA from 1 species
UACGUAGGGGGCUAGCGUUGUCCGGAUUUAUUGGGCGUAAAGAGCUCGUAGGCGGUUCGGUAAGUCGGGUGUGAAAUCUCCACGCUCAACGUGGAGGGGCCACCCGAUACUGCCGUGACUCGAGUCCGGUAGGGGAGCGUGGAAUUCCCGGUGUAGCGGUGAAAUGCGCAGAUAUCGGGAGGAACACCCGUAGCGAAGGCGGCGCUCUGGGCCGGUACUGACGCUGAGGAGCGAAAGCGUGGGUAGCAAACAGG